rnacentral:rRNA from 1 species
UACGGAGGGUGCAAGCGUUAUCCGGAUUUACUGGGUUUAAAGGGUGUGUAGGCGGGCUUUUAAGUCAGUGGUGAAAUCUCCGGGCUCAACCUGGAAACUGCCAUUGAUACUAUUAGUCUUGAAUUUUGUUGAGGUAGGCGGAAUAAGUCAUGUAGCGGUGAAAUGCAUAGAUAUGACUUAGAACACCAAUUGCGAAGGCAGCUUGCUAAACAAACAUUGACGCUGAGGCACGAAAGCGUGGGGAUC